UGACAGGAUGAAUGAACAGAAGUAAUACAGGGCAAGACAAGCUGCUCAAAAGGGAGGAGGAGGAAAACAGCAUAGAGAAUCUAAUUUCACAGCACCACCUGCUACAUCUUAUGUGCUGGCACUACUUUAGCAAAAUGAGUCUUGUAUCUCAUCUCUGGCUGAAUCACGGAAAUUACCGACUUUAGAUCAUUGCAAUCUCUUCCACCAUAAUGAAAAGAAAACAGGCAGAGAUACAGUCAUUGUUUCAGACUAUGAGAACUGGAUCCUUCAUCUACUUCAAGCUCCUCUCUAGCCCAGAAGAGAUGUCCUUAAUCCUGGUGUCAGGGAAGCCUGUUAAAAAUGAAAAGAAGCAUCUACUUGAAGGACAGCUAAAACAGUCCCAGCAAUAAAGGAGUGCCUUAAUGCCCAAGAGUCAGCCAGGCCCACAGUCACCAGAAGCUGUACUACAUGGGUAGAUGAUACAGAUGUGAAAGGAACUACCGUACCUGACAAUGUUACAGAGCCUGAAACCCCAGCUGAACAAAGUAGAUACACGAACAGCAAUGAUCUCAAUCUCUUGGGUGUCUUGUCUGAGGAUGAUAUUUCAUUCUGAAUAGGGAAAGUUCCCUUGGAGUGUUAACAUUGGAAUGAACAAUUUAAGAAAUCACUGCAGUCAUUCAAAAAACAAAUUAGAUAUUGUUCAAAGGUUCUGUUUCAUUCAACUAAAGUUAAUAGUGAAAAAUACAAUUGGGAGCAGCCAGUUAUGCCUACUGUUUGGUCCGUAAACUCUUCUCAACUUCAUCCACAGCACCAGCUAGAAAUCGGUUUAAGGAUCGGGAAAUCCUGUUGGAAUUCAAGAUCAGGAGAACAGCAAGGGUCAUUGGAAAGGUUUACUUACAGAUUUGAUGGCAGUUAACUUUGAAGAAAAAGAAGCAAGAGUACUGGAGGCCCAUGCAAUCGCAGUCAUGUGCACUCCACCGGAACAUUGUCUCACUGAAAAGCAAGCCUAUGUAAAGUUUGAUGUGCCA